rnacentral:rRNA from 1 species
CUACGGGAGGCUGCAGUGGGGAAUAUUGCACAAUGGAGGGAACUCUGAUGCAGCAACGCCGCGUGGAGGAUGACACAUUUCGGUGCGUAAACUCCUUUUAUAUAAGAAGAUAAUGACGGUAUUAUAUGAAUAAGCACCGGCUAACUCCGUGCCAGCAGCCGCGGUAAUACGGGGGGUGCAAGCGUUACUCGGAAUCACUGGGCGUAAAGCGCAUGUAGGCGGAUUGAAAAGUCAGAAGUGAAAUCCUAUAGCUCAACUAUAGAACUGCUUCUGAAACUCUUAAUCUAGAAUAUGGGAGAGGUAGAUGGAAUUUCUGGUGUAGGGGUAAAAUCCGUAGAGAUCAGAAGGAAUACCGAUUGCGAAGGCGAUCUACUGGAACAUUAUUGACGCUCAGAUGCGAAAGCGUGGGGAGCAAACAGGAUUAGAUACCCUCGUAGUC